rnacentral:rRNA from 1 species
AGAGUUUGAUCCUGGCUCAGAACGAACGCUGGCGGCGUGGAUAAGACAUGCAAGUCGAACGAGAUUUUUCGUUGUAGCAAUACGAUGGAAAGUCUAGUGGCGAACGGGUGCUUAACACGUGGGCAACCUGCCAAGAAGUGGGGGAUAGCUCGCCGAAAGGCGAAUUAAUACCGCAUGUGAUUAGAGAGGACAUCCUUUCGAAAUUAAAGUCGGGGCAACCUGACGCUUCUUGUGGGGCCCGCGGCCUAUCAGCUAGUUGGUGAGGUAACGGCUCACCAAGGCUUUGACGGGUAGCUGGUCUGAGAGGACGACCAGCCACACUGGGACUGAGACACGGCCCAGACACCUACGGGUGGCAGCAGUCGAGAAUUUUUGACAAUGGGGGAAACCCUGAUCGAGCGACGCCGCGUGGAGGAUGAAGGUCUUCGGAUUGUAAACUCCUGUCAUUGGGGAACAAGGUGCAGACGUUAACUGCGUGUGCAUUGAUAGUACCCGAAGAGGAAGAGACGGCUAACUCUGUGCCAGCAGCCGCGGUAAUACAGAGGUCUCAAGCGUUGUUCGGAUUCAUUGGGCGUAAAGGGUGCGUAGGCGGCGCGGUAAGUCGGGUGUGAAAUCUCGGGGCUUAACUCCGAAACUGCAUUCGAUACUGCCGUGCUUGAGGACUGGAGAGGAGACUGGAAUUUACGGUGUAGCGGUGAAAUGCGUAGAUAUCGUAAGGAAGACCAGUGGCGAAGGCGGGUCUCUGGACAGUUCCUGACGCUGAGGCACGAAGGUCAGGGGAACAAACGGGAUUAGAUACC